AAGAAACCACCACAGCCCCAGAGUGACUGUUGACAAGGGCUGCUAUCCCCCAAGGACACUGUGAUGCCAUGCCUGGCCACCACCUGAGGAAGUGGUGAGUAAACCCUGUUACAAUGCUUUUUCUUAAAUUACUUUAACUACAGCAUGUCUGAAACAACUAUAUUUUUGUAGUUUUCCUUAUCCACUCUCUCUUGUCCUACACCUCAUGGCAAGCACUGUAUCUCAGCCCGAGUCUACGUCCAGCUCCUACUUCCUUCAAAGGCAGUCUCACUGAUGAUAGCAGCUUUGGCAAACAGUAAAUGACUGACUGUCCUUGGCCACUUUUAUAUUGCGUCCUUUGGAGAAAAUUUCAUACAAAAUGAAAUCAAAGAUUGCCUACUUGAAACUUCUUCUUUUUUGGAUGGGAUAAGUAUUGCUGGGUCAGCCAUCCACACUAAAGACUGUGCCCUGGCUGGAGGGGUGAGUUAUCUAAAAGAAACCACCACAGCCCCAGAGUGA
rnacentral:lncRNA from 1 species